GCUCCCCGCGCGGCCAAUGGGGCGGCGGCGGCCCGGGCGCUGGCUGUAAGCGCCCUCGCGAUUGGCCGCCAGAGGCUGCGGUGCAAGCGCCUCGCGGAUUGGCCGGAAGGGUGGCGGGAAGGUGCGUCCGCCGUGUGAGGGGAAGAGGUGACGUCAUGCUGCUGACGGUAACGCCAUGCUGCUGGCGGUUACGUCACGGUGGUCCUGCUGAAGAGAAAACGACUUGCAGGUGAACAGAGUAACAACAAACCCAAGGCUUCGACUGCUUUCAUUUCUAGUGCUAAGCAAGGCUUUUAAUCCCAACGAUGCUCAACAGGAGGGAAUUUACCUGCUUUUCUUAAAGCCAGAGAAAUCUUCCAGCAGAUGGGGGAAAAAAAACCCAAACCAAAACCUAGAUGCUUGUGUGUUUUUUUUUUUUUCACUGUGUAUGAAUACUUAAAAUUUGUUUCUAAUGAAAAAUGACAUAUUUCAAUGGUUAUCAGUAAAUUGCACAGGUGUAGUGUUUACAAAUGAAUUGCCAUCUCCAGUGUUGUGUUAUUGGGACCUCCAGUACUCUCUAAAACAUCCUGUUUAUAUAAAAUAUUAGCAUAAUAAAAGGCAAAUAAUUAGGUUCUUGAUGAACCCUUCCAGAGUUUGCUUUAAAUACUGCUGCCUGUGGAAUAAUUUUCUAGCAGGGAGAUGAAAGUCAAACAGUUACAUAUCUGUUGGUUUCUUCUUGUCUUUCUGGGUCUUGCUCACUGUGAGCCUUACAUGUUUCUCAAAACACUGAAUAAAACAAGACUGAAGUAA